CAUUACAAAUGUCUGGGAUGUCCUAUCGGACCCCCAAGCAAACACAUCUAUGUGUACUCUGCCAUGUUGCUUCCCCAGACCAGUGGCCACUGCUGCCAGCCCAGUCCCUAAUGGGUUCCUGGGUUGAGGUGUCUGGGGAAGGGCUCAAUAUCAAACUUUUCAACCCACUAGUCGUCUGAGAAGGCCAUGUGCCGCAAUAUUUAAACAAGUUAAAACUUUCAACAACGGAUCUCUUGGCUCUCGCAUCGAUGAAGAACGCAGCGAAAUGCGAUAAGUAAUGUGAAUUGCAGAAUUCAGUGAAUCAUCGAAUCUUUGAACGCACAUUGCGCCCUUUGGUAUUCCUUAGGGCAUGCCUGUUCGAGCGUCACUAAAAACCGACUCACAUAUCAUGUGGUAUUGGUAGAAGUGGAUAGUACUAACACUACUUUGUCUUACUCUGCUGAAAUGAAUAGGCCAGAAAAGUGGACCAUGGUAAUAGAUUCCGGGAGUGUUUUAAAAUGCUAUACUAGUCUUAUCCAAGUCAUAUUCUGAGCCACUGGACCCCCCAUUU
rnacentral:rRNA from 1 species